rnacentral:rRNA from 1 species
AGCAGUAGCCACGGUAAUACGUAGGGUGCAAGCGUUAAUCGGAAUUACUGGGCGUAAAGCGUGCGCAGGCGGUUUUGUAAGACAGGCGUGAAAUCCCCGGGCUUAACCUGGGAAUGGCGCUUGUGACUGCAAAGCUAGAGUGCGGCAGAGGGGGAUGGAAUUCCGCGUGUAGCAGUGAAAUGCGUAGAUAUGCGGAGGAACACCGAUGGCGAAGGCAAUCCCCUGGGCCUGCACUGACGCUCAUGCACGAAAGCGUGGGGAGCAAACAGGAUUAGAUACCCGCGUAGUCCCUGUCUCUUAUAC